rnacentral:misc_RNA from 1 species
GCCGCAUGGCGUUUUAUUCUUGCAGUUGGACCCCACAUUGCCAUUAUUCGUAGUCUUUCUUCUUCUGUCAAGAUCAUCAAGCUCCACCAAACGAAACAAAGCCACCCGUCCAACCGUUCCAUUCAUAUUCUUCUCUUUUGUUUUUUUAUUUUUCUCUCUGUCUGCAAUCCCGUAUCCAGAUUCCAUGGAGGAUUAUAACAGAUCAAGAUCAUAUUCAUAUUCAUAUGGGGCUGGAACGAUGCAGAUGGAGAGUUAUUAUGGUCCACCAAGACCGCCCACCACUUCCUAUGACCUCAGGUCCUACAGUGCCUCCUAUGCACAAUCCCAGAUGGCUAACAACGGCUGCACCACCAAGGGCUUUAAGCUCAAGAAAGGCAAGAGCACUUCUGGGUCUUCUUUUUCUUCAAAGUCUUGGAGCUUGAGUGACCCUGAGUUUCAAAGGAAGAAGAGGGUUGCUAGCUACAAAAUGUACACUGUUGAGGGAAAAGUUAAACUUUCUUUUAGGAGGAGUUUCAGGUGGCUUAAGGAUAAGUACUCCCGGGUUGUUUAUGGAUGGUGGUGAGAUUUGGUGGGUAUUUUACCCUUUUUCUUUCUUGUUUGUGUUCUCUGUCUGUACGUAAGUUUUUUGUGUGAUAACUCAAAAUUUUGUUACGAAAAGUUUAUAGAUUGAUGUGUUAUGUGGGACUAGUUUUGAGUUGUAUAACGAUUUCUGUUUCUUUCUUUUGCUAUUUGGAAAAGGUUUUAAAUUCAUCUGUUCAUGUCUUUACAAUUCCUGGUGAUAAUUCUCUUUUUGAUUAUUCACCUUCUAUACUAAUCUUGGUCCUAUAAAUUUAAUUGCUGCAUAAUUUGUAAUAAUGGGUUUUGUUAUGACUGAAAAUGUGUAUUUGCUUUAUCAAUCCUCAUUGUUAAUUUUUCUUUUUCAAAAACAUGGUUGAAGAUGAAGAUAAUCUGUAUAGCAUUAGGCUUGAUGAAAUUUAAAAGGGUUAUGUUGUCUAUACUAGAUUUGCACUGUACUCUGCGUUCUUCAAUUAGGAGAGUCGUUCUACGUUCUAACCAUUUAACAGGUUAGUUCAAGUCCUUGACUUUUGAAUUUGAAUUAUUUCAUGAAAUGAAACUGGAGUUUCACAGAUUCUUUUCAGAGACUUUGUUAUCUGAGGUAGUAUUUCUAGACUGUUAGAACGGACAUAAUUUAUUACACCAAGAUGGACAUUAUGUUACUUCACCAAUCUCUUCAUAUCCAUGCCAGAGGCUGUCCUGUUUAUCAUGGGUCAAUUGGAGGAAUGUUGCAACGUAUUUAAAUACAUGUCUUUGAUCCAAUCGAUAUUUGAUUAUAACUACAAUAUACUGUCUUUUUAUGGGUAGAAAUAGAAUGGCAUGGGUGAUGGAUUUUCAGUUCUUGAACAUUUAAGGUAUUUUUAUUUAUGUGAACAUUGUAGCUGGACUUUUGCAGGUUCCUUCCUGGUCAUGAGAUAUUACGAUAGGGCCAACUUAUACAUUUUAGAUUAAGAGUUAGAGCUUGGUAGAAGAGAUGAUCUGGGGUUGUUUAUAAUGUAUUACCAUGCAAUACUUAUGUUACGUAGUUCUUUAUCUCUAUCUCUGUAAUCUAUUGUAGUACUUCAUAUAUGGCAACUGAGCCUUGGGCUAGUAUUCUAUGAGUAGCUAAAAGUACCAACCAUAUGAUCACAUUACCCUCCUUCAAACCUUCAAAACCUGUCAUGUUAAUCUAAUUAAUUGACCUGAUGUAGUAGGAAAACAUAAGUUUGUGCUGCCAAUUUGCUGUAGUACAUUUAUCCAAUUGUAGUCACUUCUGUUUAGAAGCCUGCUUCUUUUAAUGGUUGAAGAGGUUGUUUAUUGCAUUGGGAUGCUUUUUGUUCAUGAUGUUGGAAUUUUUCUGAUCGUUUAGAAGAUUACUUCUUAUCAUUACUGAAGAGGCUGUUUAUUGAAUUAGGCUGCUCUUUGUUUGUGUUGGAAUUUUUUAUAAUUUAUCUUCUUGCUCUUCUCUUCAUUUAGGUUUAUUGGAAAAUUUCUGUGGAAUUCCUCAAAGAUUUGGAAAUGGUUCCCUGUCGAGAUCUAAUUUUGAUGUUCCAAGCCCUAUGUCUGAAGGAGUGGAACAAACAAUAAGUUGUUCCCUGUAAUUUGAGCUUGCUCGUGAUUGCAACAAGCUAAUAUAGCUGGUCCUGAUUUUAGUUUUCUUACAGUUCAGUUCUUCCUUUCUGGAGCCCAUUGCUUACUCAAGCAUGCUUUCGGAAAUUUGGAAGCUGUAAAAGUGAAGUUUGUUCAUCCAUGUGAUCAGGCUCCCUUAAAUUAAGCUAUGGUAGUAAUGUGAAUAAGCCUGAGUUUCUGGAUAUGACAUUUUUAUAGAAGGCUAAAGAAUUUUAUUCUGUGUAUGACUGAAUGUGUUUCCCUUUUUAUCAAACCUCCUCCUACCAGGGAGGCUCCUGUUUCAUAAUCUUCAAAUGAUCAUUUGUGACUUGACACGGCCACGAGUAAUAUAGCAUGAUAUUUGGUGACUUCAUUUUCAAAUCGGUAGAAAACUGCUUUUAGUGCAGAGCUUUCUUAUACUUUCUGUUUCCUUUCUUGCUCAUUAUGCACAUGAAGUAAUGGUGUUAGAAUUGCAAGAGUAGAAUGUUACUCAUCUCAGUACAGUUGCCUAUUUAGUUUUGGACUUGCAAAUGCAAGUCUUGCAGUCUGCAGCAAUCAUGAACUUCAAGCAGUCAUAUCAAUGCACACAGGUUUUUAUGAAUUUUAAGAUAUUUGUAUUGUUCGAUCCACAGGGGAGAGAAUCAAAACAACUAUGGUUUUAUGCCUCUGAAGCGAUUCAUAUGUCGAGAUGGUUAAUGUAUUUUCUCAAUUCUACUUUUCCUUCUUUGAUGGGACAAUGUUGGCUGUCUGGGUCUGGAACUUAAACCAUUGGCAGCGGCCAGACUUGGUUACAAGGGACCUAAACC